rnacentral:misc_RNA from 1 species
CCUGCCUGCCUGUCUGCCUGGCAGCCGCCUGUGCUCGCCUGCCUGACUCACCGUGGAUGGGGGUCCCGGCCCGGCUUUCGGCCCGUCCCGUCCCGUAGGUAGAGUAUCGCACCGCUCGCCACCCGCUAUCCACAGCAGUUUCAGCCAGCCGCCCGCCUGCCAGUGUCCCACCGCACGCCGAACCGUUUGCACUCAGAAGCGAUCAGGGAGCCCUUCUCUCCCUCGACUUCCCCCUUCGAGAGAAACGUGCGCGCGCGCGCGCGCACGCUCUUCCACCCCGGCGAGUCGCGCAUCGCGUACCCCGCCGCUAUACGCCGCCUCUAUAUCCGCCGUUUCUCGUCUCACGUCUCUCGUCUCACCCUCGCUCCUUUACGCCCUCGUCUUCGUUACACGCGCGUUAUUUCUCUUUGUUCUUCCCGGCGGGACGAUAGCAUCUUCGUCCCCCUUUUCCAACUUCUCCCCGGGUUCCGUCUACCGGUCGUCUUCUUUUUCUCCAUCGGUUUCCUCCCCGGUUUCCUUUUUCCUCUCUUUCUUCUUCUCUUCUUCCUCUCUGCCUCUGUUUUUCCUCCUUCGCCGCCAGUCUCCCGACGCUCUUCUUUCUUUUUUCGCUGUCAGUCACACUCGAAACGCACGAGCGCCGACUAUCGUUCUCUCCCUCCUGCUCGCUCCCACUUUCCUCUCUGUCGGUUGGCUGGCGUUCGGCGUGUUUAACCUCCCGCCGUCCCACAAGCAGCCCCUCCACCGCCCGACACCAGGCUUCUGUCUCCGUUGGCAGCGCGAGCGGGCCAUUCGUUCCGUCUCGUUCGCUCGACUCCUCUCGUGUUCCGCGCGCACACGGCUGCUCCGUCCCUCUUUCUCGCUCCUGAGUAGCGCCGGUGUGUACUCCCGCUGUCACCUGAUCGCGGGACGCUUUUCGCGGGUGAGAUACCGCUCGGCCACCGAGUCAACCGAGUCUGCCGCCGCCGCCACCGUCGCUCGGUUUUCCUCCUCCGCACCCCGAGCCGCCUCUUCCUUCGGCAUCUGCUCCUACUCUCCUCCUUCUUCCUCUUUCUUUCACGGGACGCGCGCGCGCUUUCCUUUUCCUUUCCGUCUCGCGCGGACACGUCGUGCUGGUCUCUUCCUAUACUCGGCUCUUUGCCGCCGCGCUACGUCGAACGUGCACGCGGCUAGCUGGUGGUUUUCGAGAGGGAACGAAACUAAGGGAAAAAAAAGAAAACGAAGGAAAGCGACGAAAGUAGAGGCGAGACAGGAAGAAGGGAAAACGUCAAAGACGUGGAAAACAACCGAUGAACCGAGGCGGAGCUAUAGACACACGGUAAAAAAAGAGACGAGAAAAAGACGGUAAAAGGGAGAAAGAGAGAAUCGCAAGAGGAAAGAAAGACGGAGGAUCGAGAGUGCGAGGGUACGAGAGAGAGAAAGAGAAGUGCGCGCCACCGACAUCGUCCAACCACGACUGGCUUGGCCGAUCUCUCGCCUCUUCUUCCUCCUUUCACGGAUCUUCGCCGGUGCACACGUCUGAAGCCGACCGACUGGAGAGGGAGGUGACACUUUCGGAACGUGGACACGCGGCACGCACGGAUCGUCACGCUGGAUACGUGAGGAUCCAGGAGAACUCCGCUGGCUACCGUGCUCUCGUGCAGGUCGGUGAUAUAGUGUGUUGUGUGUUCGUAACCGCGCGGUCAGUCAAGUGUUCUGCGAGUCCCGCUUCUUUUUUUUGCUCCUCGUCUUCGACUCUCCGAUCCGUGCCGUGCUUUUUUUUUACUUCCGCGCGCUCCAGCAACGUUCUUUUUCUCUUUGCUUUUUUUUUUCUUCUCUUCUCUUUCUUUCUCUUCCUUUUCGCGAGCAUACCGCCAGUCUCGCGAGUAUAUAUCGGCCAGUCUCUAGAUCGUCGCGACCACGACAGCCGCAACGACACCGUCCACGAUAACGACGACGACGACACCAAUGCAAACAGUGAGCGCGUGAGUGUCCCUGAUGUGUCUGUGAGCCGUCUGCCUCUUUCCUUUUUUUUUUCUUUUCACCGUGUCGGAGCUGCGUGACGACCGACCGGUGCCGCCGAUAACUUCGCAAUUCGAAAAGGCGGCGAUAAUUCGUAAGUGUGUUGGUCGCGGCACGCCUGCGCUUUUUCCUUUUUUUUUUUCUUUUCGUUACGUUUUACGGCUCGUUAAAGCUCACGGAAUCGUCGCGCUUCGACGUCGUCCCCCAUGAAUAUGGAGAUGAACGGUCGCCCGUCGAUCCUUCCCUUGCUCCGCGUCGCCUUUCUUUCAUCCGUCGCCCCGUCAUCGUCGCCGAACGGCGACGUGCUCGAGUUUCUUUCGAGCGUUCGCACGCGAUCGCCGUGCUU